GACGAACGCUGGCGGCGUGCUUAACACAUGCAAGUCGAACGGAAAGGCCCUGCUUUUGCGGGGUGCUCGAGUGGCGAACGGGUGAGUAACACGUGAGUAACCUGCCCUUGACUUUGGGAUAACUUCAGGAAACUGGGGCUAAUACCGGAUAGAAGCUCCUGCUGCAUGGUGGGGGUUGGAAAGUUUCGGCGGUUGGGGAUGGACUCGCGGCUUAUCAGCUUGUUGGUGGGGUAGUGGCUUACCAAGGCUUUGACGGGUAGCCGGCCUGAGAGGGUGACCGGCCACAUUGGGACUGAGAUACGGCCCAGACUCCUACGGGAGGCAGCAGUGGGGAAUAUUGCACAAUGGGCGGAAGCCUGAUGCAGCAACGCCGCGUGCGGGAUGACGGCCUUCGGGUUGUAAACCGCUUUCGCCUGUGACGAAGCGUGAGUGACGGUAAUGGGUAAAGAAGCACCGGCUAACUACGUG
rnacentral:rRNA from 1 species